UUAGGGUACAAGCAAUGGAUUUGGCCUCACUGGUUUUGAAUUUGGCAUAAGGCAAGAUAUGCAUGUAGAAAUGCCCAGCAAACAGUCGAUUUGGGACUAAUGGUGGACCAACUGGACAGAAAAUCAAAGUCAGACUCAGAUAAGGAAGGUGAAAUUCCAAGAUGGCACAAGAGAGCCGGUUGUAGAUGCUGCCACACGGAGGAAGACACAGCCCGUUAGUCCUGAAGAGUAGCAGCCAGUCAACAGAGAAAAGGCCGCUUCUCCAAGGCUGUCAGUGGCCUGAAGGGACUUGUCACUUUGAUCAUCAGCUGGUAUUUGGACUUCAAGGGCAAGUUUGCCCAUAUCUUCCCUUCUCUGAGCCACCCUGCUUCCGCCACACCCAGCCCUCUAUGUCCAAGUCCUAAGCAUGCUCCGAGGUCCUUCUCUGAUGCCACCACCUUCUCAGACCUGGCCGGCAUCUCCUCCUUCUCCAAAUCAUCAGAGCUUUUAUUUCCCUUCACCUGUUAUGUCAUUUUCUCUCUUGUGGUGCAGAUAUUUGUGUAUGUCUAUGUCCCAUGUCCUGUACUACUCUGUAUGCUUAAGCUCUU